rnacentral:tRNA from 1 species
AUGCCAAUGGUGAAACGGUUAUCAUGCUUGCCUCCUAGGUAAGCGGUAGGGGUUCGACUCCCCUUUGGCGUA